AACGAACGCUGGCGGCAUGCCUAACACAUGCAAGUCGAACGAGACCUUCGGGUCUAGUGGCGCACGGGUGCGUAACGCGUGGGAACCUGCCCUUAGGUUCGGAAUAACUCCUCGAAAGGGGUGCUAAUACCGGGUAAUGUCUUCGGACCAAAGAUUUAUCGCCUUUGGAUGGGCCCGCGUUGGAUUAGCUAGUUGGUAGGGUAAAAGCCUACCAAGGCGACGAUCCAUAGCUGGUCUGAGAGGAUGAUCAGCCACACUGGGACUGAGACACGGUCCAGACUCCUACGGGAGGCAGCAGUGGGGAAUAUUGGACAAUGGGCGAAAGCCUGAUCCAGCAAUGCCGCGUGAGUGAUGAAGGCCUUAGGGUUGUAAAGCUCUUUUACCCGGGAUGAUAAUGACAGUACCGGGAGAAUAAGCUCCGGCUAACUCCGUG
rnacentral:rRNA from 1 species